rnacentral:lncRNA from 1 species
UGUGGGGCUGGGGCCUCAUCCUGCCCACUCUGCCCUGCUCCAGCCCACCUUGCUGGACCAGAUUUGUCUCGCCACCUGGUCAUUUUUUGGGUUGCUUCCUAAAUAAAUCAUCGCUUCGGCUCAGUGUUUCCAGCCUGCUGCACUGCUCUCCUCUGGUCCCACCACUGCCCCUGUGCAAAAUCACUCUCCGGUCCUACAGGUCUCAGUGGGGAGCCCCUUUAAUGGCAUUCCUUCCUCAACGCACUUCAUUCGCCUUAAAUAUUUAUAUUUCAAUCCAGAGGAUUUUCCCCCAGUUCUCCAGGCCCUCCUCAAGGGACAGCAGAGCAAUGUGCUGGCACAGCAAUGACAGCCUCCUUCCAUUAACAGCCCUCCAACAGCCCCGCACUCUAACACAAAGGAGAAUUUCUUGCGCCCGCAUAAUGCAGGUGUUCAGCAGAUGCAGCCUGCCAGCAGCCUGUGCGAGGCCAUUUGAGGAUUCCAGGACCCAAUACUAAACACAGAGCACAGGCAGGUGACACAGGGAUGGGCAGAGGGACGUGUGGUCCUUCACAGCACUGAGAGGAAUGGACACUGUUGUGCAGGAUGGGGAUGGUGGCACGGGCUGCGGGCUGUCCCCAGCCAUGGGAGGGGUGGGAUCACCUAAGGAUGCUAUGGGAGCCCUGGAACAAGAUCUGGCCCCAGCAAUUGAACCACACGUAAACAACUUUCCCCUUGCCUUGGGCUGUCUGGAGAGAGAUAUCUCUGCACAUUUGAAGCAAAACGUUGUGCUUUAAUGAUGCUUCAUGUUUAAUUCCCGAGAUGCAAUGUUACCUUCGCGCUGCACACAAUGGCUCUUGUGAGCAGCACAAAGGCACCCCAGUGGGGCAGAGCUGCUUCUCUAAAACAGGAAAAGAAGGACCACGCUGCGCACGGCGAGUUAUCCUCUCUCCUCCAGACAGAGCACCCUGGUUUCUGAGGCCGUUGUGGGGCUGCUGGUGGGAUGUUAGGCACGGGGGUGGGGGGUCCCAGCCUUCAUCCUGCUCUCGUGGGAUGUGAAGGCUGCAGGUCAGGAGGAGGUGGCCCCGUGGAUGGCGGUCACGUUGAGGUCCCCUUCUCUUCUGCUCAGAGCGGUGCAAGCGCCAACUCUACAGCACAGAGUUUUACAGGAAACUAUUGCUACGAAAGGUUGCUGAUGGCAGAAAUUCAGAUGCUACAUCCCAAAGAGGAGCUCGGCCUCGCGUCCAGCCCGGCACAGGGCAUGGAAAUCCCACGGGCGUCUCGCAGUGCCGUCACCCCGCUGCUGGUGGAAGGCGGUCCCGGUGCUGCGGGACAGGACCCCGUCCCGGGAGGGGCAAGGAGGGUGUCCGAUGGCGAAGCCUCCCCAAUGGCAUCGAUGUUGCGGUGCGGCGAGGGGGGUGCCGGUGUGCGGGGCUACGAUCCGGAUCCCUCGGGGUGCUGCUGGGGCGGGGGGCUCAGCUGGCUCUCCAGCAGCGCCUGGGCCCCCUCGGC